rnacentral:rRNA from 1 species
UACGGAGGGUGCAAGCGUUGUCCGGAUUUAUUGGGUUUAAAGGGUGCGUAGGUGGCUUUUUAAGUCAGUGGUGAAAUACAGCCGCUCAACGGUUGAGGUGCCAUUGAUACUGAAGAGCUUGAAACAAGUGGAGGCUGCCGGAAUGGAUGGUGUAGCGGUGAAAUGCAUAGAUAUCAUCCAGAACACCGAUUGCGAAGGCAGGUGGCUACGUUUGAUUUGACACUGAGGCACGAAAGCAUGGGGAGCAAACAGG